rnacentral:rRNA from 1 species
UAGUGGACAGUGGCAGACGGGUGAGUAACGCGUAGCAACCUACCUAACACUACGGAAUAACGUCGAGAAAUUGACGCUAAUACCGUAUACGCCCUUCGGGGGAAAGAUUUAUCGGUGAUAGAUGGGGCUGCGUUAGAUUAGCUAGAUGGUGAGGUAAAAGCUCACCAUGGCGACGAUCUAUAGCGGGUCUGAGAGGAUGAUCCGCCACACUGGGACUGAGACACGGCCCAGACUCCUACGGGAGGCAGCAGUGGGGAAUCUUGGACAAUGGGCGAAAGCCUGAUCCAGCCAUGCCGCGUGAAUGAUGAAGGCCUUAGGGUUGUAAAAUUCUUUCGCUAGGGAAGAUAAUGACGGUACCUAGUAAAGAAGCCCCGGCUAACUCCGUGCCAGCAGCCGCGGUAAUACGGAGGGGGCUAGCGUUGUUCGGAAUUACUGGGCGUAAAGCGUGCAUAGGCGGAUUGAUAAGUUAGAUGUGAAAUCCCAGGGCUCAACCCUGGAACUGCAUUUAAAACUGUCAGUCUAGAAUUCUGGAGAGGUAAGGGGAAUUCCUAGUGUAGAGGUGAAAUUCGUAGAUAUUAGGAGGAACACCAGAGGCGAAGGCGCCUUACUGGACAGAUAUUGACGCUGAGGCACGAAAGUGUGGGUAGCAA